rnacentral:rRNA from 1 species
AGUGAACGCUGGCGGUAGGCCUAACACAUGCAAGUCGAACGGCAGCACAGUAAGAGCUUGCUCUUACGGGUGGCGAGUGGCGGACGGGUGAGGAAUACAUCGGAAUCUACUUUUUCGUGGGGGAUAACGUAGGGAAACUUACGCUAAUACCGCAUACGACCUACGGGUGAAAGCAGGGGAUCUUCGGACCUUGCGCGAUUGAAUGAGCCGAUGUCGGAUUAGCUAGUUGGCGGGGUAAAGGCCCACCAGGGCGACGAUCCGUAGCUGGUCUGGGAGGAUGAUCAGCCACACUGGAACUGAGACACGGUCCAGACUCCUACGGGAGGCAGCAGUGGGGAAUAUUGGACAAUGGGCGCAAGCCUGAUCCAGCCAUACCGCGUGGGUGAAGAAGGCCUUCGGGUUGUAAAGCCCUUUUGUUGGGAAAGAAAAGCAGCAGGUUAAUACCCCGCUGUUCUGACGGUACCCAAAGAAUAAGCACCGGCUAACUUCGUG